rnacentral:misc_RNA from 1 species
AAAACACUGUACCGGUUUAAACAUGGCAAGCAUCAAGAGCCCGGUCAGAAUUGACAAUUUUUUGCAGUUUUCGGCGAAAACUUUGAAAGGAGAAAAAAUUGACUUCAAGCAGUAUGAGGGGAAGGUGAUUUUGGUGGUGAAUGUGGCUUCCCUCUGAGACACCACCAAGAGGGACUACCCGAUGAUGAACGAGCUGGUCGACAAAUUCGCCGGCAAGCUUGUGGUUCUCGGGUUUCCUUCCAACCAAUUUGGACACCAGGAAAAUGGAAAUGGAGUAGAGAUUCUGAAUACUCUGAAGUACGUACGCCCUGGCAAUGGAUUCGAACCCAAGUUCCCGGUCUUCGAAAAGCUAGAAGUGAACGGAGAAAACGCCCACCCCAUCUUCAAAUUCCUGAGGGAGCGUCUGCCCCUCCCGAGUGACGACUCCACCUCAUUCAUGACCAGCGCCAGUAAAAUCCUGUGGGCCCCCGUAAGCAGGAACGAUAUAGCGUGGAACUUCGAGAAGUUUCUCAUCACACCUGACGGCAAACCGCACCGGCGCUACAGCAGACAUUACAUCAUGACGAAUAUUCAGAGUGAAAUCAAGAAACUUAUAGAGGAGUUUAAGGUUAAAUAAUAGUCCUUAAUUGUCCUUAUUAAAAAAAUUACAUUAUCUCCUAUUCAUUAUUAUUUUUAAGUUAAACAAGAAAUUGUAGAUGUGUAAAGGUGAACUGUAUCCAUGAGUAUUCUUCUAUAAAGCUCCUGACACAGAGCAGGGAGAAUAUGAUGUACAACGACAACUCCCCUCUAUUCAUUUACGUUUUCUUGUUGCUGGAAUUCAUGUAAACAUUAAAAGCUCAAAACAAAAUG